CCUACGGGUGGCAGCAGUGAGGAAUAUUGGUCAAUGGGCGCGAGCCUGAACCAGCCAAGUAGCGUGAAGGAUGACUGCCCUACGGGUUGUAAACUUCUUUUAUAAGGGAAUAAAGUGCGGGACGUGUCCCGUUUUGUAUGUACCUUAUGAAUAAGGAUCGGCUAACUCCGUGCCAGCAGCCGCGGUAAUACGGAGGAUCCGAGCGUUAUCCGGAUUUAUUGGGUUUAAAGGGUGCGUAGGCGGCCUUUUAAGUCAGCGGGGAAAGUCUGUGGCUCAACCAUAGAAUUGCCGUUGAAACUGGGAGGCUUGAGUAUGUUUGAGGCAGGCGGAAUGCGUGGGGUAGCGGUGAAAUGCUUAGAUAUCACGCAGAACCCCGAUUGCGAAGGCAGCCUGCCAAGCCAUGACUGACGCUGAUGCACGAAAGCGUGGGGAUCAAACAGGAUUAGAUACCCCUGUAGUC
rnacentral:rRNA from 1 species